UCAAAUCCAACGACCCGUGAUCACCUUACAAUCCAAUGGCUCAGAUCACUCCCCAACGUCCCACGCGGCCACGCAACGUCCCUUGCGAACUCUAGCGUCUUCCUCUCAAGCGCCGCCGCAGUCGUGUUGCCUCCUGAUCAUCCGCCGCCAGAUCGCCGUCUUUGCUGUCCUCUUAGGUGCAGCCGCUGCGCACACCCACGGUGCGCACCUCCCUUCCCCGGUUCCCCAGCCCAGUGCUGCCCCCCUCCCUUCACCGUGCAAAACCCUAAGCGCCGCCACUACAAGCAGGUACCUUUGCCGCCAGGAGAUCGCCCUCAUGUCACCUCGCUGCCGUCUCACCAGAUCAUCGACGCACCGCCUCGCCAUACCGGUCCGGCGUCGACUCUGCACACGCUUCAGAUGUGUAGAGAAUCUGAAAAAGAUAUUUGGGAAGAGAUGGUAGGUGCAUUUAAAACAAUGGCAAGGAGCCAAGGAGGUAAUUUCUGUCGUGCGUUAUGA
rnacentral:lncRNA from 1 species